GUUGGUUUGUAGUUUCAGCAGGUGCGUUGCAAACUGGAGUUUGUGAGACCGUCAUUCAGAAGUGUGGCAUUCCUGUGGGGGUUAAGAAGCACACUGUGAAGUUUACAGUUCUUCAGGUUUGGGGUGGAGUUCCUUCCUGUGCUGGCUGAGAUCUGUGCUUUCCUGGAUUUUAGUUGUGUGUUCUAUAUGAGCAGUAUUGGGC
rnacentral:lncRNA from 1 species